rnacentral:tRNA from 1 species
GGCUCGUUGGUCUAGGGGUAUGAUUCUCGCUUUGGGUGUGAGAGGUCCUGGGUUCAAAUCCUGGACAAGCCC